GACGAACGCUGGCGGCGUGCUUAACACAUGCAAGUCGAACGGAAAGGCCCUGCUUGUGUGGGGUGCUCGAGUGGCGAACGGGUGAGUAACACGUGAGUAACCUGCCCUUGACUUUGGGAUAACUUCGGGAAACUGGGGCUAAUACCGGAUAGGAGCUCCUGCUGCAUGGUGGGGGUUGGAAAGUUUCGGCGGUUGGGGAUGGACUCGCGGCUUAUCAGCUUGUUGGUGGGGUAGUGGCUUACCAAGGCUUUGACGGGUAGCCGGCCUGAGAGGGUGACCGGCCACAUUGGGACUGAGAUACGGCCCAGACUCCUACGGGAGGCAGCAGUGGGGAAUAUUGCACAAUGGGCGGAAGCCUGAUGCAGCAACGCCGCGUGCGGGAUGACGGCCUUCGGGUUGUAAACCGCUUUCGCCUGUGACGAAGCGUGAGUGACGGUAAUGGGUAAAGAAGCACCGGCUAACUACGUG
rnacentral:rRNA from 1 species